rnacentral:rRNA from 1 species
AGAGUUUGAUCAUGGCUCAGAUUGAACGCUGGCGGCAGGCCUAACACAUGCAAGUCGAACGGUAACAGGAAACAGCUUGCUGUUUCGCUGACGAGUGGCGGACGGGUGAGUAAUGUCUGGGAAACUGCCUGAUGGAGGGGGAUAACUACUGGAAACGGUAGCUAAUACCGCAUAACGUCGCAAGACCAAAGAGGGGGACCUUCGGGCCUCUUGCCAUCAGAUGUGCCCAGAUGGGAUUAGCUAGUAGGUGGGGUAACGGCUCACCUAGGCGACGAUCCCUAGCUGGUCUGCGAGGAUGACCAGCCACACUGGAACUGAGACACGGUCCAGACUCCUACGGGAGGCAGCAGUGGGGAAUAUUGCACAAUGGGCGCAAGCCUGAUGCAGCCAUGCCGCGUGUAUGAAGAAGGCCUUCGGGUUGUAAAGUACUUUCAGCGGGGAGGAAGGGAGUAAAGUUAAUACCUCUGCUCAUUGACGUUACCCGCAGAAGAAGCACCGGCUAACUCCGUGCCAGCAGACGCGGUAAUACGGAGGGUGCAAGCGUUAAUCGGAAUUACUGGGCGUAAAGCGCACGCAGGCGGUUUGUUAAGUCAGAUGUGAAAUCCCCGGGCUCAACCUGGGAACUGCAUCUGAUACUGGCAAGCUUGAGUCUCGUAGAGGGGGGUAGAAUUCCAGGUGUAGCGGUGAAAUGCGUAGAGAUCUGGAGGAAUACCGGUGGCGAAGGCGGCCCCCUGGACGAAGACUGACGCUCAGGUGCGAAAGCGUGGGGAGCAAACAGGAUUAGAUACCCUGGUAGUCCACGCCGUAAACGAUGUCGACUUGGAGGUUGUGCCCUUGAGGCGUGGCUUCCGGAGCUAACGCGUUAAGUCGACCGCCUGGGGAGUACGGCCGCAAGGUUAAAACUCAAAUGAAUUGACGGGGGCCCGCACAAGCGGUGGAGCAUGUGGUUUAAUUCGAUGCAACGCGAAGAACCUUACCUGGUCUUGACAUCCACGGAAGUUUUCAGAGAUGAGAAUGUGCCUUCGGGAACCGUGAGACAGGUGCUGCAUGGCUGUCGUCAGCUCGUGUUGUGAAAUGUUGGGUUAAGUCCCGCAACGAGCGCAACCCUUAUCCUUUGUUGCCAGCGGUCCGGCCGGGAACUCAAAGGAGACUGCCAGUGAUAAACUGGAGGAAGGUGGGGAUGACGUCAAGUCAUCAUGGCCCUUACGACCAGGGCUACACACGUGCUACAAUGGCGCAUACAAAGAGAAGCGACCUCGCGAGAGCAAGCGGACCUCAUAAAGUGCGUCGUAGUCCGGAUUGGAGUCUGCAACUCGACUCCAUGAAGUCGGAAUCGCUAGUAAUCGUGGAUCAGAAUGCCACGGUGAAUACGUUCCCGGGCCUUGUACACACCGCCCGUCACACCAUGGGAGUGGGUUGCAAAAGAAGUAGGUAGCUUAACCUUCGGGAGGGCGCUUACCACUUUGUGAUUCAUGACUGGGGUGAAGUCGAAACAAGGUAACCGUAGGGGAACCUGCGGUUG